AAAGUUAUAUUCCUGGUCAAAUUCAUCAAAACAGAUUGUCAAAUUAACGCCUUAUUGUUAUCAAAUGCAUUAUUUAACUAGUAUUGACAAAGUUUUCCAACUUAGAAACGCUCUCCGUAACAUUUCUGACCAUUCUAAAAAAUGCAUUUUCUUAUUUGACUGGGUUAGUCAAAUAAGAUUUAUAUUUUGGCGGGAAGCCCUUCGAUUAUUUCCGUAAAUGUUCGGAUCUGAGUCACGUGAUAUGAUUUACCAAACCAAAAUAAUGGCGGACAAUACGAAAGGUGUGUCACGAAUACGAGAAAUAAAUUUUGAGAUUGGAAAAGGAAAAAGCGAAAAGUGGGAAGAAACUGUGAUUUAAUUCAAUCAAGGAUAUACUCCGGUAGUGAUUCAAAGCGAUGAAAAGUUCUAAAAAGCGUAAUUAAAACCAAAAGCGACCGUGAAGUUGUUAUCUGAUUGACAGGUGAGAAAUAAAUCAAUUUCAUCGUCAUCAUGUGUUGCAAUACCACUACCAGGGACAUCAAAGAUGACCUGGACUUCAGUGCAUAUGCAGAGGAGAGUAGCACUAAAGAAAGCCAAUAAAAUCCUUUUGGAGUUGAAUUGAGACACAACCAUUCAUUUCUGGUUUAGUUAUAAAACUGCUACAGACUAUAAACUAUUCAUGAUGAUGGAAUACACCACUGCCUAGUACAAUCAUGGCCCAUUAGAAACCAGAACAAACCAUGGCUGCAAAGGAAAUAAGAUGCACAUAGUCUGAAAGAUCUGGCUGGUGUUCUAAAUAAGAUGACAUAAUAUCUCAACUGCAGAAGUACAGCUGGCAUGUAGGGGUUUCAACAGCACAUCUUGAUGUAUUGUACCAAAAGAUUUGCUUACACACCACCUGCUUAUAGGAUGCACAAUCUUCUUGCAGCCAUAGAUUAUAAUAUACAUGCAAAUAGACCAUACAUCACCAACAAGGGGGAUCUGUUAGACUUCAGCGAGUCUGGAUGAAUUAAAGAAGAAGAAAAAGUAUCAUUAUACCAUUUUUCAUGAUGCUAUAACUCUGAGAAUUAGUGACAUGGAGGGGAUAUAUAAAAUACAAAGUUAGAGGAAGAUGACCCCCACAGACUUUCAAAAUAUUUGGCCCAAGUUAGCCCGAAGCCUACCCGAACCAUUCAUGAGGAACAUAAAUCAAGAUAUGAUUGACUUUUUAUGGAAAAGAAUGAUAAAUAGUGUGUUACACUGAUUGCCCAACUAUUCAAACAUAUUUAAGCUGACAUUGAACACCUGGUAUUCAUGAUAGUUUUAUGAAAUAUCUUUUUAGAUAUGGCACUGUAUCUAUCUUGUUUCGAAAAAAAUUCUCUUGAUUCAUUUGUCAUGACUCAAGGUCUGUUUUUAAUAUUUUGUCAGAAAAAUGACUACUUUUUAUAUAAGUGCAAAAUAUUAUCCAAUCUAUUAAACUAUAAGUGCUGCUAUGAGCUUUAAUGUAGUAACGAAGUUAAAAGUAUUAUUCAAUUAUAUCUUUUGAUAUACAUGUACUAUGUCAUUCACUUUAGCUCAGCUUCUCUAUUUUUUUUUUUUUUGAAAAAAGAAAUAGAGGUUGCUGCCAUUGCCUUCUGCAAACUUGAACCUUGUUCAUAACUUUUAAAGUUCUUGGUGUAUUGUCUAACCUUGGCCUUCAUUCAUAAUUGACCUUGACCUUCAAGGUUAAAUGUCUAAAUUUUGGCUUUGCUUGUUAUUUGCUAUUAGUGGCUUUAACUUUAUUGCCCUUUGUUAAUUUUCAUAUUUCAUUUUUGUCUUGGCCAUUUCUCCUAAACUAUAUUGUUCACCAGGCAACACAUCCGACUCGCGGAGAUCUAGUUGUUAUUAGUCCAUGAAUUGUUUUAGUCCAAUCUAGUUUAUUAGACCAAUGACAUAGGGGCUUUUUAUAUAAAAUCCUUGUUCAAUCAAACAAGGCAAGCCUUAAAAUUAUCUUUGUAUUUACUCCCUCAUCCCAUUCCAGUUCAGAUAGGUUAGGUGGGCUGAUAAAAUAUUUAUUUUUGUGCCCCCACUUUAGCAUUUAGAUUUACCCUUGUCCGUCCAUCCGUAUUUCACCUAGAGUCAUGAAACUUUACUGUAAUGUUGAUCAGCAAGUGUAGUUGUUCACCUUGGUAUUUUCAUCUGGAUAUUUUUAGUAUUUUCAGAGUUACUGCCAUUGAAUUUUUGCAAUUUUCAACUUGUGUCACAUGUUACUCAAGAAGUAUUUGACCUAGAGCAAUGAAACUUAACAGGAAUGUUGAACAUUAUGUGUAGUUGUGCACCUGGGUAUUUUCGUCUGGAUUUAAUAUUUUGAGAGUUAUGGCCCUUGACUUAGUAAAAUUUUGCAAAUUGUGUUUGACUUAGAGUCAUGAAACUUUACAGGAAUGUUGAUCAGCAGGUGUAGUUGCGCAUCUGGGUAUUUUCGUCUGGAAUUAUCUAGGAAUUUUAGAGUUAUUGCCCUUGACUUGGUAAAAUUUUGCAGUUUUCAACUUGUGUCACAUGUAACUCAAAAAGGAUUUGACAUAGAGUCAUUUAACCUUACAGGAAUGUUGCUCAGCAUAUUUAGUUUUGCACCUGGGGUUUGGCUUGUGGAUUUAUCCAGUAUUUGUAGAGUUAUUUCCCUUGACUUAGUAAAAAACCUUUCAUUAUGUUGUUAUUUGUUCCUUGAGUGCUUGAGUGAGAAUCAACCAACUUUACAGGAAUAAUGAUCAACAUCACUAAAUUACAGGAAUAAUGAUUUACAUCACUGUGAAGCUAUGAACCUGGGACUUUCAUGUGGAUUUUUUUUCAGUUUUGUUAGAGUUAUUGCCCUUGACUUACAGUAGUAUAAAUUUACAAUUUUCAACUUGUUCAUGCAUAGCUCAAAAAGUAUUUAUGUUUUCUUUCAUUUCAUUCAGCCAAACAUAAAUAAUUUAUCAUUUAACUCCAUAAUUAAUAUCCUACAGGGAUAAAAUAUAAAUAAGAAAGACUAUAUAGGAGUGGCUACUACAGGUUCACUUUAAUUUAUCGAAUAAUUUACAAUUUUCAACUUGUUCAUGCAUAGCUCAGAAAGUAUUUCACUUGUAGGCCAGAAUGUUUAAAAGAAUGUUGGUCAGCAUGUGUACUUAUGCACCUUGGGGUUAACUUGUGAAUUUUUUCAGUAUUUGUAAAGUUC